UUUAAAUUGAGAGUUUGAUCCUGGCUCAGGAUGAACGCUGGCGGCGUGCUUAACACAUGCAAGUCGAGCGAUGAAGUUUCCUUCGGGAAACGGAUUAGCGGCGGACGGGUGAGUAACACGUGGGUAACCUGCCUCAUAGAGUGGAAUAGCCUUCCGAAAGGAAGAUUAAUACCGCAUAAUGUUGAAAGAUGGCAUCAUCAUUCAACCAAAGGAGCAAUCCGCUAUGAGAUGGACCCGCGGCGCAUUAGCUAGUUGGUGGGGUAACGGCCUACCAAGGCGACGAUGCGUAGCCGACCUGAGAGGGUGAUCGGCCACAUUGGGACUGAGACACGGCCCAGACUCCUACGGGAGGCAGCAGUGGGGAAUAUUGCACAAUGGGGGAAACCCUGAUGCAGCAACGCCGCGUGAGUGAUGAAGGUUUUCGGAUCGUAAAGCUCUGUCUUUGGGGAAGAUAAUGACGGUACCCAAGGAGGAAGCCACGGCUAACUACGUGCCAGCAGCCGCGGUAAUACGUAGGUGGCGAGCGUUAUCCGGAUUUACUGGGCGUAAAGGGAGCGUAGGCGGAUGAUUAAGUGGGAUGUGAAAUACCCGGGCUCAACUUGGGUGCUGCAUUCCAAACUGGUUAUCUAGAGUGCAGGAGAGGAGAGUGGAAUUCCUAGUGUAGCGGUGAAAUGCGUAGAGAUUAGGAAGAACACCAGUGGCGAAGGCGACUCUCUGG
rnacentral:rRNA from 1 species